GCCUCCUUAGCUCAGCUGGUCAGAGCAGCGGACUUUUAAUCCGAUGGUCGUGGGUUCGAGCCCCACAGGGGGUA
rnacentral:tRNA from 1 species